GCGCCGCGGGACCCCGGAGCUGCCCACCCCGGGGCCACGGAGGCCCGCAGGCGCGGUCUGCGGCGUCCCGAACUUCCGCACCCCGUUCUGAGAGACCCGAAGUCCAAGCGAGCGGACCCCAGAUAUCCAGGUGCCCUGCGCCCCCUCCUGGAGGAGCCGGGAGUCUGGGGCUUCGGCCCCGGAGACCCUGAAAGCCGAGCGCCUCCAGCUCGAAGAAACCGGCUUUGAGGAAAUCGGCACCCCAGACCGGAGACCCCCCGGGGGCCCCCAGAAAGUCGCGGGAAGACUCCCGGGGCGGAGGGACCUGGAGCGCGGACUCCUGGUGCCCGAGCCCGUUGGUUUAGGGCCGAGGUGCCCACCGCCUCGAGGGGGUCCAGGAAUUUGGGGCUGCCCUGCGCUCCCUUCUGGAGGUAGUUCGCCCCUGCCCCCCGAGUUAGCGGGAGUCGAGUCCGGCCCCCCACGGCCCUCUCGGGAAGACUCGAGAACUCCGGCCCCCAGUUUCCACAUCUGAGACGCGGGAGCAGCACUCCCCAUUAAGAGGACCCAGAAAUUCCGACCGCUGUACCCCAUGCUUCGACAGACCCCAGAUUCUGGCUCCCGGCACCUCGGAGCCCCGAAGUUCACGCCCCUGACCUGUAGCGCCCCGAGUCCCGGCUCCGCGCCUCCCCGGGGGUCGAGCUAAAGUCGAGUAGGAACCCGGCUGCCUCGACCGACCGGGGCUGGAGGCUCCCUGGGAGCGGAGACCGAGCGUUCCCAGGCUCCUGCGCCUCCGGCCCCGGACGGACCAGACGCCCGGCUUCUGCGCUCGGGCGCUCGCCACUCUUUGUCUCGGCCUUCCCGUCCCUUCCUCUACGUUCUCUUUCGUCCUCCGGCUCCCCUUUUCUGCCACUUUGCUCCUGUCUCCUUCCUCAGCAACUCGGGGGCGGGGGGUCCUCCCUAGACCUAGCCCACACUUCUAAUUCUCGGCCCCCGAUCUGUGAAGGGUCCUGAUACCCAAGCCCGGAGUCUUUGCAGACCGCUGAGGAGCCCUCCAGUCAUGCCCGAGGGAGCCCUCGGACGGAGCCAGUGCAAAGCCAGCCCCAGCCUUGGGCGUGCCCGCGGAGGUGAAGUGUGUGACUGUGCUGCUGGGUGUGACAUUCGCACAGCAGCCCCCACUACCCCUGCCAUGGCCUCCCCCCGAGGUUCUGGGAGCUCCACAUCCCUGAGCACGGUGGGCUCUGAGGGGGACCCGGCCCCAGGGCCCACCCCAGCCUGCUCAGCCUCCAGGCCAGAGCCCCUUCCAGGGCCCCCCAUUCGCCUGCAUCUGUCACCCAUGGGGACCCAGAGUUCGGCGAAACCCUCGAGGCUGGAGCGUGUAGCCCGUGAAAUUGUGGAGACAGAGCGGGCCUAUGUCCGGGACCUCCGCAGCAUCGUGGAGGACUACCUGGGCCCUUUGCUGGAUGGUGGGGUCCUGGGACUGAGUGCGGAGCAGGUGGGCACGCUGUUUGCCAACAUCGAGGACAUCUAUGACUUCAGCAGUGAGCUCCUGGAGGACCUGGAGGGCAGCAGCAGCGCGGGGGGCAUUGCUGAGUGCUUCGUGCAGAGGAGUGAGGAUUUUGACAUCUACACCUGGUACUGCAUGAACUACCCGAGCUCCCUGGCCCUCCUCCGGGAGCUCUCCCUGUCCCCGCCAGCAGCGCUGUGGCUGCAGAAGCGCCAGGCCCAGCUCCAGCACUCGCUGCCCCUGCAGAGCUUCCUGCUGAAACCCGUCCAGCGUAUCCUCAAGUACCAUCUGCUGCUGCAGGAGUUAGGCAAGCACUGGGCAGAGGGCCCAGGCACUGGGGGCCGUGAGAUGGUAGAGGAGGCCAUCGUGUCCAUGACGGCGGUGGCCUGGUACAUCAACGACAUGAAGCGCAAGCAGGAGCAUGCUGCGCGCCUGCAGGAAGUGCAGCGGCGGCUAGGCGGCUGGGCUGGCCCGGAGCUCAGUGCUUUUGGGGAGCUGGUGCUGGAGGGUGCGUUCCGAGGUGGUGGAGGUGGCGGCCCCCGACUCCGCGGGGGUGAGCGGCUGCUCUUCCUCUUCUCACGGAUGCUGCUGGUGGCCAAGCGCCGGGGCCCCGAAUACACCUACAAGGGCCACAUCUUUUGCUGUAACCUGAGCGUGAGUGAGAAUCCUCGAGACCCUCUAGGGUUCAAGGUGUCUGAUCUGACCAUACCCAAGCACAGGCACCUGCUGCAGGCCAAGAACCAAGAAGAGAAGAGGCUGUGGAUUCACUAUCUCCAGCGCCUCUUCUCUGAGAACCAUCCUGCCUCCUUUCCUGCCAAGGCAAAACAAGUUCUCCUUGAAAACAGCCUGCACAGUGCUCCUAAAAGUAAAAAUGCCCCAGAGCCCCUGACACCCCCACUUGGGUCUCCCCAACCUCGAGAUGCUAGGAGUUUUACUCCUGGACGGAGGAACACAGCACCGUCUCCAGGCCCUGCCACCCGCCGUAGCCGCAGACAGUCGGAGCCUGUGAAAGACCCUUUUGUCGUGCUUCCCCAAAACUCUAAGCCCAGACUUAAGCAUGCUGGCAGUGAGGGGGAGCUCUACCCCCCCUUAGAGCCUCAGCCACCAGUUCCAGCCCCUGGCCCCCCGGAGGACCUGGAGGACACUGGACCCCCCACGCUGGAGCCUUCUGGGACCUCAAUCACUGAAGAAAUCCUGGAACUGCUGAACCAAAGAGGCCUCCGGGAUCCGGGGUGCUCACUCCAGCCACCCCCCUGCGACAUUCCCAAGUUCCCCGGAGACGCCCAGAUGCCAGGCCACCGCGAAACCCUCGCAUUCCAAGCCCUGCCCAGCCGGGACUCUUCGGAAGAGGAAGAGGAGGAGAAGGAGGUGGACGAACGGGGGCCGUCUCCGCUCCAUGUCCUCGAGGGCCUUGACGGUUCCAGUGCAGCUGAAAUGCCCGACAUUCCCGGCCUUCCCACAAUUCCUGAUGUGCCCAACCUUCCUGAAAUUCCCCAAAUUCCCCACCUUCCCAGUCUCUCCGACAUUCCCAGUGUUUUUGAAAUACCCUGCCUUCCAGCCAUAGGCAGUGUUCCUGACAUUCCUGGCCUCUGCAGUGCUCCCGCCCUGCCCGGGGACUCCUGGCUACAGGGGCCUCUGCAGGGGCCAGAUGAGGCUCUGGCCCCCAGGAGAGAACUGUUCCCUGGAAGCAGCUCUGGAAAGCUGGGAGCGCCCCCUUUAGGAAGCAGAGCAGGGCAGGAGGAGGAGGAGGAAGAAGGGGUAUCAUUUCCAGAUUUCCAGCCCCCGGGUGUCACCCCAGAUCAGGGAUUCCCGGAGGAGCUGGAAUUCCGUUCUUGCUCAGAAAUUCGGAGCGCCUGGCAGGCUUUGGAGCAGGGGCAGCUAGCCCGGCCAGGUUUCCCAGAGCCCCUGCUCAUCCUAGAAGAUUCUGAUCUGGGAGAAGGCAGCAGGAGCGGGAAGGCCGGAGCCCAGAGUUCGGAGAGGGCAGCGUCCCGAGUGCGAGAGUUGGCCCGACUUUACAGCGAGCGGAUCCAGCAGAUGCAGCGGGCCGAGACCCGGGCCUCGACCAAUGCCCCCCGCCGCCGGCCACGGGCUCUGGCCCAGCCCCAGCUGCCCCCCUGCCAGCCCUGUGAGCGGGCCGAGCCAGGGCCCCUGCCUGCCUUUGGACACGUGCUGGUAUGUGAGCUGGCCUUCCCAUUGACCUAUACCCAGGAAUCAGUCCCCCUGGGCCCUGCUGCCCGAGUGCAAGCUGCUACACCUCUGUCUAAGCAGGCAGAACGCGUGGAUGGCCAGGGUCUGCAUGUUUCACGUUUACCGGAGCCAGAUCAUCUGGGCAUCCCAGUUCCAGCUGCUCCCCCCUUGCCUGAGCAAGGCAGCCUCUGGAACAUCCCGGUUCCAGCCCCCACAUCUUUGCCAGAGCGGGAAGACCCGCCAGACAUCCACGUUCCAGCUCUUUCCACUUUGCCUGAUCAAGAAGGCCACCUGCCAGUCCACGAUCCAGAUCCCAGUCCCCUGCCCGAGCAUGGUCACGGCUUGGACCCGUCGGCCACCAUUUUUCCUGAGCGAGGCUCCCCCGUGGACAUCCAGGUUCCGGCCACACCAGCUUCUCCCAAGCCGGAAAGUGGUUCUGCCGCCCUCGUUGUAGCCACCACUCCUGUGCCCCAGCAGCAUGGCCACCUAGACAGCCAGAGCCCAGCCAGCACCCAACAAACUGAGCCAGAAGGCUGCGAAGAUGUUCAGUUUCCGGCCAAGGUCUGCAAGCCCCACACGAAGCCUCUGCUUGGGCCUGGAAGCAGCCUGGACCAUCUGAUCCCAACCAACAGCUCACCGCCCCUGCAACAAGAGCCCCCCAACACUCGGGUUCUGGGUACCUCACCUUCACUUGCGCACGGAGGCCACCUGAACUGUCAGAUCAUAGCCAGCACACCGCCAUCUUUGCCCCCAGACCUGCCAGAUGGUCAGGUUCCAGCUGCUGUGCCUUUGCCCCAGCCGCAAGACCUCACGGACAUCCGGGUUCCAGCCCUCUCACCUUUGCCCGAGGAGAGAGGCCUCACGUACCUCCAGGCCACCCCUGCUGCACCUUUGCUGCAGGAGCAGGGCCUUGCAAACAUCCAUGCUGUGGCUGCCACACCUGUGCCUGAGCAAGGAGUCUCUCAGGACCCCCAGGGCCCGUUCCCCCUCCAAGGUCACACAGCCGUGGUUGUGUCCAAGCCAGCAGGCCACUCGGUCGCACGUGUUGCCAGGAAUCUGUGGGCCUUCGCCGGGCCCAGGGGGCUCCCGAUGCGCCCCCCUUCCACAUGUGAACCAGGAUGUCGGGUUUCUUGGAAAGCAAGGACUGUAACCAGAUGCCACAGACCCUCAGAACUUCACCCAGAAGUCCAGGCACUGACCACGGGUCUAAAAAUUGCUGCAGCUUUGCAACUCCUGGAAUCUGCUUUGAAUUGUCUGAGGCACCAGUGUCAUGGCUGAACUCAACGCCUGAAUUUUCUAGUUACCUGGUGUGUUACCUCCCUGAGACUGGGUCUUGUCAUCUGUAAAGUGAGAACAGUACCUGCCACCUGGGAUCGGGAAGAUUCAGCAACACAGGACUCCUAGGCACUGCCUCUGCACACCGGCAUCCCACCAGCAUUCUUGCUGGUGGAAACAUUCACCACCUGCGCAGUCCAGCGUAGCGAGAGUUCACUGUGCGUUCGCCUUUAGCCAGCAGGCACAACAGGUGAGCUGGUUAUCUUGACCCACGUUACACGUCCUGCAGCACUGGCACCCACCGUAAGGAGGGUCAUUCCCUGGGAGGCAGUUGCCAUCUUAAAGGAUGAAGACAGUCAAGGGAACUCCUACCCCCAUAGGGGUUACAGGCCCCCCCACCUCAAUCACUGCCAUUACAGAUUGACAGUAAAAAACUUGCCUGAUCAGGGGCCUCCCUGGUGGUACAGGGGAGGUUAAGUCUCAGCCAUCAAGCUGUCGCCAGCCACUGUAGCCUGAGUCGGAUCCCCUGCAAGGGAGCUAGCUACCCAUAUGGCACGGCAGACCUCUCCUGUCUUGCCCGCUGCUCCCCUCAGCAGUGUUAUUUCAGUCAAUCUGCUGUUCUGCUCCCCACUCUGUCUCUUGUGAAUUCUCUCACCUCUGCCCUAUACCCCAGUUCUUGAAUACAUAAAUCUUUAAAAAAAAAAAUAAUGUCCUGAUCAGGCCGGGCCCUUAAUCAUCCUCGAAGCCCACCCAAGCUGUUUCUCUUCACUUACUGUGUUCCAGAAGUCAUUGGAACAGUAGCAAAGGGAUGGGCAGACAAACUCAGGCCAGGCCACGCCACACGGCCCCGCCUACCCCAAUCGUGGCUGCACAUGGGACUACCAUGAGAGGGGCAGGGACAUCGAGGGCAGGCCUGUUUGCCCCGCCCAUUCACACUAACCCCAGAGCAGCAGCUUCUGGAAAGGGCAAUUCAGAAUAGGAGCAGGGGGCACUGCCCACGUUCUCCUUAGUCAGAUACUCCACUCCCACAGACCACAGCAGUCCUUGAAACCUUAAAAUCCAACAACCAUUGUUUAUUAUAAAGAUGAACCCCAAGCCUCACAAUGGGUUUAUCGGUAGGAUUUCUGGUAGCGAGCACGGGCUCCAGGGCCUCCGAACUUCUUAGAUUCACAGCGACGGGGAUCAGCCACCAGCAGGGUCCGGUCAUACUGGAUGAGGAUAUCUUUGAUCUCCUUCUUAGAGGCCUCAUCUACAUCUGGGGAUGAGAGAUGGGGAGGUUUAGAAAACCAUGGCAGAAGUACCCUUCUAUUCUCUCAGGCUCAGUGCCACAGCGGGUCCCAUACUCGCCACUCCCCUGCCCCCAGGGAGGAACCACUGACUCACAUUUCUGGUAAUAGGCCACCAGAGCUUUGGAGAUAGACUGGCGGAUGGCUGUAAAGACAGAGGCACACAAAGGGCCGAUUAACAUCAUGAAGGCCCCAAGCCAGGGACACGCUCUCAGCUACCUACACCCAUGUGCCCAGCGACUCACCGUAAAUCUGGGCCACAUGACCACCACCCUUCACACGGACACGGAUAUCCACUCCAGCAAAUCGCUCCUUGCCCAGAAGCAGAACGGGCUCCAGCAGCUAGAGGAACAAGGGUGACAGCAGGACUUUAGAUCACACCAUCAGUUAAGUCUGAGCCAUGUUCCCUUGCUCCCAAGGGGCCCACAGCCACCACCAGCCUCUAAGCCCAAGUGGUAAAGGGUUGGGCAAUCAUGCAGGCCCCUCCCUCUACACAGGAGGGGCUGGGAAGAUGCAUGGGCAGAGGACUUGUCCUGUGGGUGCCCCUCCCUGGGCCUCAGAUUCCCAUCUCUUAAGACUGUUUCUCAGACUGCUGGCCCCUUGUGCCUCAGUGAGAAGCCACUCAGGCUACCUCAGGUGCAUUUCUUGGGCUGUCCACCUCCCCUCUGGGCCUUCACAUCAGUUUCAGAAAACGUAACUACAACUGAUGCCAGGCUGUCCCCUGGCCAACGUGAGAUUGUUUUGUAGGUGCUUCCUCUACCUGGACACUUUUAAAAACUACUUGAAUUCCCAGCUCACAGAUCUCUUCCCAGAAGCCUGCCCUGACCCUUCCACUCAGCCUUUUUCCACCCAAAAGGCCAUCCCAGCCUGCCUCUGGAGUACUCGGUAUUGGGUCCAGGGACUACAAGGGUCUGAGAACAGUGCUGAGCACUGUCCCCAGCACUUAACAUAGGCUGCACACACGACACCUUCAAAUAAACCAACGGCCACUAACAGGACACUGCAAUACCCACGAUCUGCUACCCAAAGGGAUCUCGGACACUAACACUAAGUUAAUGUGAACCACUCCUGUGGUGUAGAUGGUUUUACUCUUCACUUUUAAACAGAUUUUAAGAAUAAAGAAAUGCAUUCUCACUCUGG